CUGGGGGAUAGGCCUAGUUCUUCAAAAUACACGGCGUUGCUGGUUAGUAUUUUUACUUUUGGUUUGUAAUAAUUCGUCUUUUUUGGUAGUCUAGUGGAAUUGUCACACCUUAACAAAUUAUCAUCCUGUUUCCAAUAUUUUUAUCUAGUACAUGUUCUCUUUCAUUGUAGCAUGGACUUGAAGAGAUAGUUAUGAAUUUAGAAUAUCAUCAAGUGACUUUUAAUAAGGCACUGUUUUCAGUGGAUGAACCGACAUCAUGCAGUGUGACAGGAAAAUGCCCGUGAGACCAAAGAUGGCUUAGAUAAAAGGGAAGACGAUGCAGAAGCCUCUGUACCAGAGAAAAAUCCAGAGAUGGCCCUCAAAGAAGUUAGAAACAAGAUGAGAGACCGUCUCAAGUUGUUUAGGUCUGGAGCCACCUUCCCCCACCCACGAGUCGAAGAAAUAGAUCUUUGAACCACUCCAGGUUACCCGUGACAUCAAGAUAAACAAAAUUCAACUUCAGGGACAAUUUGAUAAUACCUGUUUAAAAUUUUUUUUUUAGCUCACCUGGGCCGAAGGUUCAAGUGAGCUUUUCUGAUCAAAAUUUGUUCGUUGUCUGUCGUCGGCGAAAACUUUUCACAUUUUCAUCUUCUCCAGAACCACUGGGUCAAUUUCAACCAAACUAAGUGACACAAAGCACCCUUGGGUGAAAGGCUUUCAAGUUUGUUCAAAUGAAGGGCCAUGCCCCUUCAAAGGGGA